rnacentral:rRNA from 1 species
AGUGAACGCUGGCGGCGUGCUCAACACAUGCAAGUCGAACGAGAACGGGUUAUAGCUUGCUAUAAUUGUCAGCUAAGUGGCGCACGGGUGAGUAAUGUAUAGGUAAUAUGCCUCUUACUAAGGGAUAACAAAUGGAAACGUUUGCUAAUACCUUAUACUCCUUAUUAACAUAAGUUAAUAAGGGAAAGAUUUAUUGGUAAGAGAUUAGCCUGUAUUGUAUCAGUUAGUUGGUGGGGUAAUGGCUUACCAAGACUAUGACACAUAACUGGUUUGAGAGGAUAAUCAGUCACACUGGAACUGAGACACGGUCCAGACUCCUACGGGAGGCAGCAGUGGGGAAUAUUGCACAAUGGACGAAAGUCUGAUGCAGCAACGCCGCGUGGAGGAUGACACAUUUCGGUGCGUAAACUCCUUUUAUAUGAGAAGAUAAUAACGGUAUUAUAUGAAUAAGCACCGGCUAACUCCGUGCCAGCAGCCGCCGUAAAAC